GUGCUCGUUUAGGCAGCACAUAUAUUACAAUUGGAAUGAUACAGAGAUUAGCAUGGCCCCUAUGCAAGGACGACAGGUAAAUUUGUGAAGCAUUCCAUAUUUUU
rnacentral:snRNA from 1 species